AAGAGAAGAAGAAAACACCUGACAUUGACCUCCAGACCUCUGCAUGUUCACACAUAGGAGAAAACUAAUUCUGUUUCUGAUGAGCAAAUAAUCCAAUUAGACAUUUCUCCAGAGAGGAUGGAUGAGUCACCCGAAGGCAUCCGAAACAUACCGACCCGUAUCAGGGAAACGCAAAAUCAAAACCACGGUGAAAUACCUCCUUACAUCUACGAGGACUAGGGAGGAUGCGGAGAAGUUGGAGCCUCCACACCGCCCCUGGAAAUGAUGCAACCAUUACAUACAUUCUGGAGGUUGUUUAGCACGUGAGACAGAAGCUGAGCAGUGGUGGAGCCGCACACCUUUAAUCACAGCACUUAGGAGGCAGAAGAAAGCCAAUCUCUGAGAUCGAGACCAGUCUGGUCUACAGAAUGGUUUCCAUGACUGCCAGGGGUACACAGAGAAACCCCGUCUCAAACACAAAACAAACAAAAAGAGUCAGACAGAAUUAUGACAUGAUCCAGCAAUAAGGAUCUACCCAGAAGCACCAAAAACGGGACUUGGAUGUACACAGAUGCUCAUGGUAACAGUACUCACACUACAAAAGGUGGUGACUACGAACUCCAUGAAAUGGAUCAGAAGACUCAAUGGAUUCCAACUUCAGAGGAGCACCGGGGGCACCUUCCCUUGGACUGCUGCAAGCUUGUGUUUCCAGUGCGCCCCACAGUGCAUGUGGCCGGACUGGGACACCUUAAACUCAGCGAGGGAUGCUGCAGAGCACACUGCCACCCCAAGUACUGGAGGCCCUGUGGGAGCUGGAGGUGACGUAGAGGUCACACCCUCCAAACCAGCACGGGCAUGAGAGAUUUGGGGCCUCCUCCCUGUGAUGGAGGCCAUUUGGUUCCGAGCAGUAAAACUGCAGCUGACCUGGAGACUGGCCAGUCAAUGCCUCAGAGGUUGAAACUCACCCAGUAGCCCUCUAGGUCCUUGCAGACUGGCCAGCCGCAGCUCCGGAGCUGGGGAGGGGAGCAGCUGGACCCCAGAGGAAGCCUGUUCCAGGAAGUGAGGCGGGAAGGACAGAGCUAACCCCAGCGGAGCACAGACUGCUCCGAACACUUCCAACUGAUCUCCCCCAAGCUCCACUCUGACACCUCCCACUUUACAGGAAUGGGAACUGAGGCACAGAGUAAAGUUUGCUUGUGUGACAUCUCGCAGCUACUGCAUGGUACUCUUAAUUAUGGCCCAGGCUACAAUCCCCACCCCUAAACUCAAUCCGUGGACUCUUUGCAGCCAGAGAAAAGAUUAAUGUGCAAACUGUGGGCUGCUGUGAUCCCAGGAGGAGGCCUGUACGCUAGGAGCUGGGAGUUUACUGGCACAGGCUUGAGAACAGUGGGAACAUUGCCUAAACCCCCAGUAAUUGGUUAAAUAGCUAUGGAGUCAUCCUAGGGACCAGAUUUUUCAUCCCAUCCUUCCCAUGGGAACAAAAUCCCUAGCAUGUUUUCCAGAGAGGAAAAAAGGACAACUGGGAGGCUCUUGACCCCAGCAGAAAACAAUGAUUAAAAUAAACCCCAAGAAAAUCCUUUACAGGUUGGAAGACCCCAAACUGUGCUCUGAAGAGCAGUUGGCAAUCAUUUUCCUCCCACAGAAGAUAGUCUUGGACUUGGACUUGUUCAAAAGGUGUUUUAGUUGGAAAUCUCAGCAUUUAAGAGGCCGAGGCAGGAGGAUUACUGCAAGUCUGAGGCCAGCCUGUUCUGCAGAGACAGUUCUAAACCUGCCAGGAUACAUACUGAGUUUCUGGUUUUUGUUUGUUGGGUUUGAUUUUCUAUUUCGUUUGCUGGUUUUUCGAGACAGGGUUUCUCUGUGUAGCCCUGGCUGUCCUGGAGCUCACUUUGUAGACAGGGCUGGUCUUGAACUCACAGAGAUUCUCCAGCCUCUGCCUCCCAAGUACUGGGA